rnacentral:rRNA from 1 species
GACGAACCGAGCGAACGUUGUUCGGAAUCACUGGGCGUAAAGGGUGCGUAGGCGGGUCUUUAAGUCCGGGGUGAAAUCCUGGAGCUCAACUCCAGAACUGCCUUUGAUACUGAGGAUCUUGAGUUCGGGAGAGGUGAGUGGAACUGCGAGUGUAGAGGUGAAAUUCGUAGAUAUUCGCAAGAACACCAGUGGCGAAGGCGGCUCACUGGCCCGAUACUGACGCUGAGGCACGAAAGCGUGGGGAGCAAACAGG